UUUGCCAACUGACGGAGCCCGUUCUUCAGUCUCCUCUAAGUUGUUGACAGCCCAGCUAAAGGAACAGAAGCUUCAGACUAGUAUUCCUGAGAAUAACAGCAGGAAAUCCAUUGAACAACACUGGCUCAACAUUUGAGAAUGAUGGAGUCAAUGGCAAGUAUUGCUCCAAGUGCCGGCUCAACUACAGCAAUAGGACUUGAAGAUGAUGCCAACAACUUUUCCAUGGUCCAAAGGGGAUUGGACAUACAUGAUGAAGAUUGUUUCAACACACCAAAAAGAACCAGUAGCCUCCCCGCGUGUGGGUCAACUUAUGAGCCUGAGUGUGAUGAUAGCCUACAACCCUCAAUUGGCAUGCGAUUUGAUAGCUGGGAGGCAGGUUUAGCAUUCUAUAGAAUGUAUGCCCAUGAGGUUGGCUUCUCUGUACGCAUAUGGACACAACACAAAGGAGAGGGUGGUGUAAUAAUUUGGAAGAAGUUUGUUUGUGCAAGAGAAGGUUGGAGGAAGGAAAAGUCAGUGGAAAUUGCCCAAGAUACUCAGGAAAUGCAGAGAAAAAUGGUUAAAAGAAAUAUCAAGAUAACCAGAUGCGGUUGUGAGGCUAUGAUCAGAUUGAAGAGGCAAGUUGAUGGCAAGUAUGAGGUCGUCCAGUUUGUUCAAUCACACACGCACCAACUUAUCUCACCAAGUAAGAGACAUCUCAUCCGGUCAAAUAGAGAGGUAACUAGUGAUUUGAGAAACAAACUAUUUACAUGCAGUAUGGCAUUGCUUGGCACAUCAAAAACUUAUCGCGUGCUUACUAUUGAGAAAGGUGGGCCAGGGAACAUAGGUUGCACGAAACGUGACUUACAAAACUAUGACCAUGAUUUUAGGGCAGCAAUUAAGGGAGCAGAUGGACAACUUAUAGUAGAUAUAAUGGAAAAUAAAAAGAAGGCCAAUCCAGCAUUCUAUUUUGAUUACCUGGUAGAGGAGAACAAUAAACUGACAAAUAUUUUCUGGGCAGAUAGUAUAUGUAGAAAGAACUACUCAUUGUUUGGUGAUGUUGUGUCAUUCGACUCUACAUAUAGAUUCAACAAGUAUGACCUGGUAUUUACCCCUUUUACUGGAGUUAACCAUCAUAAAUCUUGUGUUACAUUUGGUGCUGCUUUUUUGUCAAAUGAGAAGAUUGCAUCAUACAAAUGGUUAUUCCAGACUUUCUUGAAAGCAAUGUGUGGGGUUGCACCAAAGCUAAUCAUAACUGAGCUGCAAGAGGACAAUUCUAGCGACUCAAGACACUUCACAACAUCCAGCUUUCCUUGAUUGAAUUUUGGGUCAGAUUUGAAACGGCUUUGGAAGAGCAGCGGCAAAAAGAGCUGCAAGAGGACAAUUCUAGCAUACAUACCUUGCCUGUACUUGAAACUUGUUGGGGAAUUGAGAUUCAUGGCAGAGAUGUGUACACUCACAACAUUUUUGUUGCUUUCCAACGUGAGGUGGUGGCUGCUAGGGAUCGUCGUCAUGUAAAAACUAUUGAGCACGUUGGCGAUGUCCGAACCACGAGCAUUGCUGACCUUAGCGGCAGGAUAAGAGUAGUCUGCUACAACACUAGUACGAAGGCUGCACAAUGUACUUGCCGAAUGUUUGAAUCAUUGGGCAUCCUGUGCUCUCACAUCAUUGUUGUUCUAAAGAAUGAUGGAUGUAAUGAAAUUCCUAGCCAAUAUGUGUUGCAUAGGUGGUCUAAAAUGGCUGCACGACAUCUUUCUCAUGAUGCUAAUGGACAUGAGCUAGAAGGGUCAUCUACAUCUCUUUCACCUACCAUCAAGAAACUGUACUCAGAAACAUGCUCGAUGUUCAGCUCGGCAUUGCAUACAGCUAAGCAUUGUGAGGACAAGAUGAAAUACUUUCACAAAGUUCUUUCUAAUGCUCUUGCGCACUUAGACGCAGACGGUGCCGCUUGACGAGCAAAAUAAAGUUCAAGAGUUUGAAUCCUUCAUUGGAACGACAUUCCCAAGCAUCAUCAAUAUUCAUCCAUCGGAAGUUGCAAACACAAAGGGCAGUGGUAAGAGAUUGAAGAGGGGUUCAGAGGAGGCCAUGAACAAAAGGAAAAGGUAAAUUAGAUUGUAAGUAAUAUGUAUUUUAUUAGGUUUUCGUGGAUUGCAGCUAAGGGUUUUUCCUUCUUUGCAGAGGAAGUAGUGUUCAGAAAGGUCCAAGGUCUAUAGAUUGUUCUAUUUAUCAGCACACCCAGCCCAUGGGAGCGGAUAUCAUUCAUCUGGCGCUAAAUCAUGAAUGAGAAAUGCCUUCUGUUCAUGUGCUAUCCAAUGUUGGAGGCUUCUGCUACAACUUCAACACCUAGUUCAAUAUGUUGGUGCAAUAAGUGUACCUGCUACCUCAUUGGGCUAUGAAUCACAUCUGAGUUGCAACUCUAGUUAUGCGCUUCAUAGUAGAUUUUAUGUGUACUGUCAUUAGUGCUGCUGAGAAAGCAUUCAUGAUAUUUUGUAUAAAAAGGUGUGUAAGAGCAUAAUUGUUGUACU